rnacentral:rRNA from 1 species
AAUUUAUUAUAUUAUUAUUGUUAUUUGUUGAUUUUGAUUUUUAAUAAAAGUAAUUUUAUAUUUUUUUGUUUGAGUAUAUUUUAUAGGAACAAUUUUUUUAAUAAUAGUUUAUUAGUAAAUUUAUUGGAUUAUUAAUUUUUUAAAAAAUAAUUAAAAGUAGAUUUAAUUUUUUUUACCUUUUGUAUCAGGGUUGAUCUAAAUUUUUAUUUUUAUAAAUAAAUCUCAAUUUAGAUUGAUUUACAAAUAAAUUAUAUUUAUUGUUUUAUAAAUAUUAUAAAUUUAUUUGUGGAAAUGAAAUGUUAUUCGUUUUCUAAGGUAUUUAGUUUCUUAAGAAAAAAUUUAAUUUUUUAAAUUUAAUGUUUUAAUUUAAUUUUUUAAAUUUAAUUAUUAAAUUAUUUAUUUUUUAGGGGAUAAGCUCUAAAAUAUUUUUCUAAAAUUUAUUAUUAUUUAAAUAUAAUUAUAAGCUUUAAACCAGCUAUUAUUUGAUUACGUUUUAGUUCAUUUUAUAUUAUUUAGAUUUUAUAAUUUAUUUAGUUUUUAUAUUAAGAUGUUUGAUUUAAUAAAAGAUUUUUAGUAAUAAUGAUUUAAUUAGUAUAUUUAUAUUGUUUGUAUUUUUAUUUUUUUUUAUUUUAUUAUAAGGAAUUAGGCAAAUAAAAAUUUUCGCCUGUUUAUCAAAAACAUGUCUUCUUGAAUAUAUUUUGAAGUCUAACCUGCUCACUGAUUUAUUGUUAAAGAGCCGCGGUAUUUUGACCGUGCAAAGGUAGCAUAAUCAUUAGUUUCUUAAUUGGAAUCUGGAAUGAAUGGUUUGACGAAAAAUUAACUGUCUCUUGAUAAAUUUUAGAAUUUAACUUUUAAGUGAAAAGGCUUAAAUGUUUUUUAAGGACGAGAAGACCCUAUAGAGCUUAACAUUAAUUAUUUAAUAUUUUUUUAUAGUUUAUUUUUUAAUAUUUAAUUUUAAUGUUUGGUUGGGGUGACAUGAAUGAUAGUUAAACUCUUCAUUAUUAAAUCAUUAAUUUAUGUUUAUUUGAUCCAAAAUUUUUGAUCAAAAGAUUAAGUUACCUUAGGGAUAACAGCGUAAUCAUUUUUGAGAGUUCAUAUCGAUAAAAUGGUUUGCGACCUCGAUGUUGGAUUAAGAUUAGUUAUAGGUGCAGUAGCUUUUUAACUUGGUCUGUUCGACCUUUAAAUUCUUACAUGAUCUGAGUUCAGACCGGCGUGAGCCAGGUCGGUUUCUAUCCUGAAUAAAUAAUAUUCAUAUUAGUACGAAAGGACCAUAUGGGUGAAAUAAUUUUUUAUUUUUGAUUAAAAUUAAUAAUUAU